CCCACUUGAAUGUACCCACUAAAUUGAAGAAGAAAAUAAAAUAAACUAAUGUAAUCUGAAUUAUAAUAUUCACAAAAUAUUCUGCUCCAAAUAAUAAAAAUGUUAUCCUAGGUAAUCAAACACAAAGAAUAAAGUGAAUGGAGAACUACUAAUGAAUUUCUAAAGGAAAAGAAAAUACUCAUAAAGCAAGUUUUUGUAAUGCUAUGCAGAGUCUAGUCCAUAACCCACCACGAAAUAAGAUGAACAAUCAAAGCCACAACAGUACCUUUCCUACCUAGUAGCUCGAAAUCAACCUGUUUUUUUUCCGUUUUAAAAAAGAGUACAAAAACAUGGAGGAUGCCCCCUUCUGUCAAAUUCGUGGGAUCCCCCCAGCAAAUAGUCUCCUUUUUUCUUUUAAUGAAAUCUUCCUCCUUUUUUUUUGAAAGUUAGUUGCCAAAAAAGAUGAUAUAUCUUUUUUUUCUUUUGAACUCCCUAUCCUCUUGGAUCUGAUCUCCUCCCUUUGUAUUCGUGAUGCUCCCUUAUUUGAUAUACCCAUUUUGUUUGACCUGAUGCCCCUUUUUUUUUCUCUACGUCUCUUCCUCUAAAA
rnacentral:lncRNA from 1 species